rnacentral:rRNA from 1 species
GAGUUUGAUCAUGGCUCAGGACGAACGCUGGCGGCGUGCUUAACACAUGCAAGUCGAACGAUGAAGCCUAGCUUGCUAGGUGGAUUAGUGGCGAACGGGUGAGUAAUACGUGAGUGACCUACCUUUGACUCUGGGAUAAGCCUGGGAAACUGGGUCUAAUACCGGAUACGACCAAUCUCCGCAUGGGGUGUUGGUGGAAAGCGUUAUGGAGUGGUUUUAGAUGGGCUCACGGCCUAUCAGCUUGUUGGUGAGGUAAUGGCUUACCAAGGCGACGACGGGUAGCCGGCCUGAGAGGGUGACCGGCCACACUGGGACUGAGACACGGCCCAGACUCCUACGGGAGGCAGCAGUGGGGAAUAUUGCACAAUGGGCGCAAGCCUGAUGCAGCGACGCCGCGUGAGGGAUGACGGCCUUCGGGUUGUAAACCUCUGUUAGCAUCGAAGAAGCGAAAGUGACGGUAGGUGCAGAGAAAGCGCCGGCUAACUACGUGCCAGCAGCCGCGGUAAUACGUAGGGCGCGAGCGUUGUCCGGAAUUGUUGGGCGUAAAGAGCUUGUAGGCGGUUGGUCGCGUCUGCUGUGAAAGGCUGGGCUUAACCCUGGUUUUGCAGUGGGUACGGGCUAACUAGAGUGCAGUAGGGGAGACUGGAAUUCCUGGUGUAGCGGUGGAAUGCGCAGAUAUCAGGAGGAACACCGAUGGCGAAGGCAGGUCUCUGGGCUGUAACUGACGCUGAGAAGCGAAAGCAUGGGGAGCGAACAGGAUUAGAUACCCUGGUAGUCCAUGCCGUAAACGUUGGGCACUAGGUGUGGGGGACAUUCCACGUUUUCCGCGCCGUAGCUAACGCAUUAAGUGCCCCGCCUGGGGAGUACGGCCGCAAGGCUAAAACUCAAAGAAAUUGACGGGGGCCCGCACAAGCGGCGGAGCAUGCGGAUUAAUUCGAUGCAACGCGAAGAACCUUACCAAGGCUUGACAUAUACUGGACUGCGUCAGAGAUGGCGUUUCCCUUCGGGGCUGGUAUACAGGUGGUGCAUGGUUGUCGUCAGCUCGUGUCGUGAGAUGUUGGGUUAAGUCCCGCAACGAGCGCAACCCUCGUUCUAUGUUGCCAGCACGUGAUGGUGGGGACUCAUAGGAGACUGCCGGGGUCAACUCGGAGGAAGGUGGGGAUGACGUCAAAUCAUCAUGCCCCUUAUGUCUUGGGCUUCACGCAUGCUACAAUGGCCGGUACAGAGGGUUGCGAUACUGUGAGGUGGAGCUAAUCCCUAAAAGCCGGUCUCAGUUCGGAUUGGGGUCUGCAACUCGACCCCAUGAAGUCGGAGUCGCUAGUAAUCGCAGAUCAGCAACGCUGCGGUGAAUACGUUCCCGGGCCUUGUACACACCGCCCGUC